UCUCUCUCUCUCUCGUGUUUUGUAUUUCUCUGCACCCUACUCCCCACGAUUCACACUCCCUUAGGCUCACACGAACCCUCUCUUCAGUCUGGACUGGUACGUGCUGGAGGGGCAGAUCGUCAAGCACACCAUGCGGGAUCUGAUCCGGUCCGUCCGGGUCGUCGGGCACAAGGAUUUAAUGUGGAGACGGUGGAAUAUAUAAAAACAUCAGCUUCACUGUUUGGGGUGCUAGGGGUCAGGACAAGUUUGGCAAGGAGGUACUCGGUCAUGCUUCUAAGGUGGUGCUUACCAAGGAUACUACUAUGAGUGUUGGUGGUGGAAGUACACAGGAAGCAGUAAACAAUAGAGUUGCACAGAUUAAUUAGAAAUCUAAUUGAGGCUGCAGAGCAAGACUAUGAGAAGGAAAAAUUAAAUGAAAGGAUUGCGAUAUUGUCAGGUGGUGUUACUGUGAUACACGUAAAUUACCAAUUGCUGGUUGUAAAAGUGAUUUGUAUUUGUAAAUAAUAAUCUUGUGCUGAAGAAAUGUAUCAUAUUGUAUAUUCUAGU